AGUGAACGCUGGCGGUAGGCCUAACACAUGCAAGUCGAACGGCAGCACAGUAAGAGCUUGCUCUUACGGGUGGCGAGUGGCGGACGGGUGAGGAAUACAUCGGAGUCUACUUUUUCGUGGGGGAUAACGUAGGGAAACUUACGCUAAUACCGCAUACGACCUACGGGUGAAAGCAGGGGAUCUUCGGACCUUGCGCGAUUGAAUGAGCCGAUGUCGGAUUAGCUAGUUGGCGGGGUAAAGGCCCACCAAGGCGACGAUCCGUAGCUGGUCUGAGAGGAUGAUCAGCCACACUGGAACUGAGACACGGUCCAGACUCCUACGGGAGGCAGCAGUGGGGAAUAUUGGACAAUGGGCGCAAGCCUGAUCCAGCCAUACCGCGUGGGUGAAGAAGGCCUUCGGGUUGUAAAGCCCUUUUGUUGGGAAAGAAAAGCAGCAGGUUAAUACCCCGCCGUUCUGACGGUACCCAAAGAAUAAGCACCGGCUAACUUCGUG
rnacentral:rRNA from 1 species